CUGUGUUGUCCGGUGGAGGCCGUCUGUACUGUCUGGUGGAGGCCGUCACCGUGCCCUUGCUUACACUCCUUUGCUUAUGUUUUGCCAUUUUGCUGUCUAAAGUGAAUGUAUUGGCUUUGCCAAAUCACUACAGAAGGUGGUUUCUAAAUACCUUUUAGUUAAAAAAAAGAAAAAAAGAAAAAAAGUUGCAAAUAAAGGCUACCUCUGAAUUCUCUAGGAUAGAUUCAUGUUUGCUCUUACUUGUAGCUGUCCACACUGAAAAUAGCCAAACUGUUGCCUGAGUUGUGAAACGAAUUGUGAGCAUCUGUCUGCCCGGUUGUGGCUUGGCAGUGGCACGUGCGUGCCAUCCUGUGAGCCCUGACGCCCCUCCUGGGCCACCUGGACCAGCUCCUGGUGCCACCCGGCUCCAAACUUCUCGGACUUUGAGAGGCCAGCAUGAGCAGUGCAGAGGGCUCAUCUACACGGGACCUCAUGCCGCCCUGCCAGGCCGGCAGAAGCAUCUCUGCAGGGCUGCGUGGGUGGCUUCUCCCUCCUCUGUUGAACCCAAGAAAGCACUUUUAUUUUUCUCCGCUUUACUUACGAAUGAGCUGCAAACGGCUUGCCCUGCUCCCUCCCUCCUCGUACACUCUGUAAAAUCACAAAGGUGCUGACACACCAGCGCUUGUGCAGAUAGGACAGUUAAGAGAGCUGCGUGGCCUCCAGAGAGUGGUCCAGGCGGAGCUGGCCUUCGGCUUUGGGAUCUGGAGUUCCUGUCGCUCCCUCCUUGAAAGUGAAACUUCCUGCUCCCAUCCCUGGCCCUUUGUUACCUUAGACCUUGGGUUCCCAGCGGGCUUCCUGCAGUGUGAGUCCCUGCCCACAGCACUGCAGGGUCCCCUUGCAGGCAUCUGUCCUGAGAGAGCUGACAGUUGACGCACGCCUGCAUCUGCCCUCUGUAAUGUCCCUUCCCCGGCUGCCGGCACUUUUCUGCGCGUUCUCCAUGUUUCCGGUCUUCAGCAGGUCAGUGCUCACUCCAGACCGCCCUCAGUUGCUUGGGGAUUCUGGAAGGGCAAGCAGGUGGCUUCAGGGGCACAGGUGCCUGGGUCUGGGGUGGCUCUGUCCUGCCAGAUGCUCUGCAGACGCUGGUUCACCCCGCAGGGUGUCUGUGCCGUUGCUGGGGGAGCUGUUGCCUUAUGCACUGUCAUCAGGGGGUUUGAUGCUUUUUCUGCUACACGGCAUGCUUUAAUUCUGAAAGAGCUAAGUGUCCUUCACGGUCUUGUGCGAACGUUUGAAACCCGCCCUCACACUGUCUCGUGUGUGUAGGCCACCCCGGGAACACGGGCGUUUUGGUGGGGGCCUGCCCCCGCUGGCCUGCUCUGCUGGCUUCUCAGGUACCCUGGGUUGGCCAGAGUCUGGCCUAGGGUGUUAGAGAGAACACUGCAUAGCAGCCACACCGUGGCCCAGUCCUGUGAACUGCUCCCGGCGUUUCGCAUGCGCACCUCCAAAAUGCUGAGGUGGGACUUGCCAUCAUCCCGCUGCCUUUGCAUUUGUGAAAGAUUAUUUUAAAAUGAGAGAGCUGAUUUCUGGUGCUUCUGUGAACACUUUCCUGUUUUUGGUUGAUUUGAAAAUUGUACGUGUUAGGUCUUCAGCUGCCGUUGGCGGUGCGACUGAAGAAAGGCCAGGUCCUCACCUUAUCCCCACCCCCUUUUGGGGGAAUGGGAAGAGGCUGAAUUAUCUCCAGUUCAAACCUCCUUGGAUUUACGUAGUUCAGAGUUAAAGCUAAAACGCCAAAUAGUAACUCUUCCCCCAGAGUCUGCAGGAGCUAGGUGCCCAGGUCCCCGCUCAGCUCUUCCUGCAUCUGCAGCAUCCUCGGAUUGAGUGCAUUGACCCCAAGAACACCGCAGGCCAGGGGGCACGAUGCGGAGCCUGCGAGUCAAGGGCUGGCCUCAGACUGUGGACAGGAGGGCGGGCCCCUCCGGCCUGGGAGCAGGAGCCGCCUGGGCCUUCGAUGGUCCUGAGCUUGUGUGCAAGACCCAGCCUCAGACUCUGUGCCUUUAAAUCUGGUCCCCAGUGUCCUUUCAGAACCCUGUUGGGGCUGCGUUUUGAUUGGGCAGCGAGCGUUCAUUCUGCAUGCCAGUCACCCCUGCCCGGGAAGCUGCCCUCCUGCCCUUCUCCUCCUGGCUCUGUUCACCACGACCACGCUCACCCUCACGCCCAGGGAUGACCCCUUGGUGGGAUUUUGGGAGGUCGACCAAGAACCAUUUCUUAGUCGGGCUUUAACUGUGGCCAUCAGCAGAACCCAGCAGGUGCGUUCUCAAGGUUGCUCACCAAGAGCCCUCACUGUGGUGGACGUGGGGUCCUCAGCUGUGCGGUGCUACUCAGCCCCGCUGCCCUCACUUCAGAUGCUAUUCAUUGUCGUCGCCAUGUUCUGUGACUUGCGGGGAAAGCGUGGACUUGAGUGUGGAGUCCCGCAAGCCACGCACCCGCACCCCCGGCCGGCAGCCCCAGCCUGCAGGCCUGUCUCUCCCUUUUUCCAAGCCGGCUGCUGAGUGGCCCCUGGCUGAUGUCUGAGAUGAGACUCGAGAGACUCGAGACUCACUCGUACUGGUUUUAAGUGGGGAAAUGCCCAGUGUAUUUAUUUUUUAAUGUAUAGAAAAUCCCUCUGGGUGGUUGCCCUGGGCCCCGCCCUGUCCUGAAACCCUCUCUGCUGAAAGGCAGCAGCCCUGUCCCCAGCAGUGGCCAGGUGCUGGCUCCAGAGGCGCUACCUGUCCCUGGGGGUUGGGGGGGAGACACGGUGAUGUCUUGGCUGCCCUUCCACGCCAGGUGGCCACAACUCAAAUCCUGCAGCCUGGGGUUGAGCACCGCGCUGCACCGAGCCCUGGGUUGGAUAGUGAGUGUUAAUGUGGUCACCGCAGGUGGGUAAUGUUUUAUAGCUAGAGGCAAGUGAGCUUUUAUUUUUUAAGAAGUUUUAAGAGAAUAAUUGUACGUUUCUGUGCAGCAAAGUGGCUGAUGACUCAUGAAAUGCAAGAAGAGAAUGUAGUAAUCCAGAUUUUUCUGACCUCUGGUACAUUUCAGAUUAUUUACCUAAUAUGUAUUGAGGGGUUUUAACCCUUAGUUUUAUCAAUUUUUCUAGUUUUAUUUUAUUUUUAUAAAAUAAUUGAAAAAGAACCAAAAAUGAAAUCAGAAGUUCCAUAGGUGGGUCCCGCCCCUCCCAAUGUGCCCCCACAAUAAGACAUUGUAGAGGACAUUUUGAAUCAAAAUGUAUUAUGACCAUUUAGAGUUUACUGUUUUCUAACAGUCGAGCAGCUACGAGGGCCUCGCUCCAGGUGGUGCUCUGCACCGUCUGGGCGCGUCUACACCUGUGCAGCGGGUUUGUGACCGUGUCUUGUGCUCGUGGUGUAGGAACCAAGCAGUGCUGUUUGUACACUGACCACUCCUGUGUAAACUGUGGUUAUAUGCGGUGGCCUCUCUGUAUAAUGUCUCGUUUGCUAUGUGGAUUGUAAAAUGGAUGAUCCAAUUAUAGUACCUGCUAACCACAGCUCUGAGGCUCUAUGUCGUUGUCUUUAGUUCCGUCCCACGGUCUGUGUGUCUCGAGGAUGUCAGACGCUCGCAUGACGCUCGGUGGUGAUGCCACUUUAACUUAAGCCUUAAUCAGAUGUUAAAUUCGUAAGUUUCAGAGUAUGCAAAAACGUCAGGCAGAGUGAGCUUAAACUGUCCCCAUCAAGACCCUAGAUCAGAACUCGGCAUGUCUUUUCUCUGGAGUCGGAAUGGGGCGCAUUCAGUGGUACCCCCCUUCAGUCUCUGCGGCCUGGUCUGGCUGUUACCAUCGCUUGAGGUAUGGACCAGUGUGCGUUUCUGCGGCAGUUGGUUAAGAGACCUGUUCUGAAAGUCAAGGCUUUUUCAGGGUUAUUUUCUAAAUGUUUGCUUUUCUCUUCCCUCCAGUCUGAGGUUUCUUUAUGGGUAAUAGAGAGUGAAAUUUGGACAUAGGCCUCAUUCGCAAACCUGCUCAAGUUCUAGGCUUUCUUCAGGUAGUGCCACCUGUCACCACUUCUGCAUAUGAUUCAAAUGGAUUUUUGUUCUUGUAAAAGCAUCUUCAAUUUAGAGUGAAAAUGGAGGGGACCCAGCUUUCUUUACAAUGUGGAUCUACCUCAGUUAAACAGUUGGGUGCUAUUUACUAAGUCUGUCAAAUUAAAUUGGAAAAAGUAACCAAACUGAGCUACAACUCCAUGUGAAACUUGAAAUAAUCAUUUGUUUAUUUAGUAUUUUUAUUUAUUUUGUGCCUUUUAUGUUAAACUCUAAUGCAUUAAAAAAAUGCGUAUGAAUUAAGUUUUAGAUUACAGGUGGGGAGAAAAGCCCAACUGGCCGUGGAAUCUGACGUACCCCCCUGCCAAGUGCUAUGGUGUAUUAGGAUCCCUACUGCCUUCUUGUGAGAAGAAAACAAAUCUAAUGUCCAGGAGCAAACUUCCCCUUUUACAGACGAUAAGUUCCAGACUCUUCUAUGCAGAUAUUUGUAGCUGUCACUUCGUUUUCUGUGCCAAUGAAGGGGUGGUCAAAAACAAAACAAAACACACAUCAAGUUCUCCUAUCAUUGCUUUUCACUCACUCAUGCCCCUCUUCCACUGGCAUAUUUUCUAAGAGUUUAUUUCAUAAGCAGCAGCUGGAAUGUUGUCGAUUCCAUCUCUCUGGACUGACCUACCUGGUAGAGGUGCUAGUGACUGUGGACAGGGAAGGGGGCGAGCUGUACUCACGGCAGCUGGCGGCCUCAGAGCUCGGAGAGCUUCCCGAUAGGUAAGGGUAGGAGACCGAUGGCUUUCUGUGCUUUUCUAUUUGGAGGUUUACACUUCUAGACUUUUCCUACUAUGGUGAUCUUUUUUUACUUCACUCUUUGGAGGCAACACAAUAUUUUGGAGUCUGAAGAAUUUGAUUUUAUACCAAUAAUAAACAAUUAGGGAUCUCUCCUGUAGUAUAUAGUUUUACUAUUUUACAGAGAUCUCUGAAUUUUACAAGAGACCAAUAUUCCUUAGUGGCAAAAUUUCACAAAUUGAUUUGGAAGACUUUUUUUUUUUUUUUUUGGCUGCAGGAUCUCAAAAAAUUUAAAAUGAUUCUACUUAAAUGUUUUUAAUUUUUUGACUUCCAUCAGGUUACUACUUAAGCUAUAUUUUAUAAAGAGUAAAUCAUCCUCUAGUAUGCUGCGUAUAAAGUUGGCGUUGUUGCACUUUCUCCGUGAUAAUAAAUGCCCUGCGAUUGGCCCAGCAGUGUUUUGUUUUUAACCUAACAAGAGUACUUUGGGGCAGGUGAUUAAAUUUAUAUAGGUACCUCAAGAAAAAGAACCUGAAUAUGCUGCAUUUUGUUUCUUUAGCUUUUACAUGUAGCAUUUUAUUUUGCUUUUAUUGUUUUGUUUCGAUAUAUGCUUUUUGGACCCCAAUAGAUUGUGGAAAGAAUUGAAGUUACUCAUGUGGAGAUACAGUAUCCUUUUCUUUUUAAAUUUACUGCAAUGUCUGCUUCAAAGAUUGCCCACUUCAGAGUAACACUUUACCCAAGCCCACCAGGAGGAAAAGGAUACUAUGUUUAUAAGCAGACAGGAAUGUUCAGGAUCCUUUCUGUUCAUGCUGCUUUCUCCAUUCCUUUCUCCAUGUCACCAAGAGGUCGCAGAAACUGCUUCUUAGCUCAAAGCUGUCAAUGUGGCAUCUGAGUAUUUUCCCAAAUCGCCGUUGAGUAAGUAGCAUGAUCCUAAAGGUAUUGCUGACAUUGGCAGCCCAGCCAACCCGGUCUCCAAAGACCCAGCAGCCUUCACGUUUCCUCACCCUCAGCGCUCACCCCCAAAUGAGCAGACAGGGCGUGGUUUGAUGGACAAGAAAGCUAACAGCAAGACACUGAGCAGCUAUCGUCGUGUUUAAGCUUAGCCGGGUCCUUUAAAGUUUGUUUUUACAGCUUUCUAGGUUAAGUAGUUUGCACUAUUUUUGCAAUAAACCCAUGGAAACCUAACAGUUCCUCCUUUGUUCCUUACUGUGUGUAUAUAAACUAAUACUGAGAGUCUGGCCUAGUGUUUUCUCACCCCUUUACAUAACCCCUAACAUGCACAGAAUGCUGUAAAUCUGAUGACAUAUGAUGUGAAUGAUAUUUUAUAAAGUUAUUUUGUAUGGUGUCAAUUUUGUUUUGCCUCAUAGUAUGUCAGCAAAAAAAAUAAAAUAAAAUUCCUCCUAUUUA